GAUGAAGAACGUAGCGAAAUGCGAUAAGUAAUGUGAAUUGCAGAAUUCAGUGAAUCAUCGAAUCUUUGAACGCACCUUGCACCCUUUGGCAUUCCGAAGGGUAUGCUCGUUUGAGUGUCAUUGUACUCUCACACUUCCGAUCUUUGGAUUGGGAGCGGUGGACUUGGGUGUUGCUGCUUACUGUGGCUCACCUCAAAUCGAUUCGUGCACCUCUUGGUUGGACAUAGUACGGCGUGAUAAGUGUCUUCGCCGGCACCUCAGUAGAGGGUGGCUGAUCGGGAGCUCUGCUUCAAACCGUACUCGGACAACAACUGACAACUUGACCUCAAAUCGAGUAGGACUACCCGCUGAACUUAAGCAUAUCAAUAAGCGGAGGA
rnacentral:misc_RNA from 1 species